rnacentral:ncRNA from 2 species
UUUUGGCACCGGGGGUGCUUGCUUUGAGCAGGCUGAGAGAGUCCCUUAAAACCUGAUCAGGAUAAUACCUGCGAAGGGAGUGUGCGUUGAUUGCUUG